UGCCUACGGGGGGCAGCAGUGAGGAAUAUUGGUCAAUGGACGAGAGUCUGAACCAGCCAAGUAGCGUGAAGGAUGACUGCCCUAUGGGUUGUAAACCUCUUUUGUCAGGGAGCAACGCCGGCUACGUGUAGCCAGACUGAGAGUACCUGAAGAAAAAGCAUCGGCUAACUCCGUGCCAGCAGCCGCGGUAAUACGGAGGAUGCGAGCCUUAUCCGGAUUUAUUGGGUUUAAAGGGUGCGUAGGCGGAAUGCCAAGUCAGCGGUAAAAUCGCGGGGCUCAACCUCGCUCCGCCGUUGAAACUGGCG
rnacentral:rRNA from 1 species